AAAUUUGCCUUGCUGAGAGAACUUAGGGUCUGUGUGCUAAUUCUUCUUGGCAACACCAGAGAAUAGGCAUUUACUUCCAACAGUGUCCCCCCAGAAGAUAUAUUGAAGUCCUACUCCUAACUCCUGGUACCUGUGAAUGUGACCUCAUUUGGAAACAGGGUCUCUCCAGAAUUAAUCAAAUUAAGAUGAGAUCAUCCUAGAGUAGAGUGGGCCCUAAUCCAAUAUGACUGUUGUCCUUAUCAAAAAACGAGGAGACCCAGAGACAGACACCCAGAGAGGAGAAGGCCAUGUGAAGAUGGAGGCAGAGAUGGCAGCAAUGCAUCUACAAGCCAAGGAUUGCUGGAACGACCAGGAGCUAGAGGAGAGGCAUGGCACAGACCUUCUUCCAGAACCUUCAGAAAGAACAUAUCCCUGCUGACCUUGGUUUCCAACUUCCAGUUCUCAUCAGAACGCUGACAGAAUGAACGUCUGCUGUUCUAGACCACCCAGUUGGUGUUAAAUUGUUAUGGCAGCCACAGAAAACCGGUAUCCUCCCAAAUGAACUACUUGCAACUGAAUCCUGGGUUCAGAAUCUGCAUCUUUGCAACAACACAAAUGGGACUGGAGGUCAUUAUGGGGCCAAAAACUGGCUGGGGAGCUGGGCGAUGGGCUCGGAGGCAGGAGAGAGAGCAGUACCAGUCAUUCGACAUCCAGCAACGAUUUGUUAAUGGUCUACCCGGUGCCUGGCACUGCAUUGGGCGCCAGAAUUACAACAGGAACGGAGAUGAAGUUUCUGGCCUCCUGAAUUUACAUUCUCAUCACGGGAGAGCCACAUCGCGCCUCAUCACUUGUAGCAAGCUUCCGUCAGAUGAUGUGAAUGGGUCUCACAAGAUCUGAUGGUUUUAAGAACAGGCGUUUCUCUGCACGAGCUCUGUUUGCCUGCCCAUCCACGGAAGAUGUGACUUGCUUCUCCUUGCGUUCUGCCAUGAUUGUGAGGCUUCCCCAGCCACGUGGAACUGCCAAUUCUCCAUUAAACCUCUUUCGUUUGUAAAUUGCCUGGUCUCAGGUAUGUCUUUAUCAGCAGCAUGAAAAUGGAUUAAUAUACUUAGAAAAGAAGAAAGGCUAAAAAUCAAUGAACUAAGCUAUGAUCUCAAGAAAUUAGAGAAAAAGAACAAACUACCGGCUGGGUGCAGUGGUUCACACCUAUAAUCCCAGCACUUUGGGAGGCCGAGGCAGGUGGAUCAUCUGAGAUCAGGAGUUUGAGAGCAGCCUGAUCAAUAUGGAGAAACAUGUCUCUACUAAAAAUACAAAAUUAGCCAGGUGUGGUGGUACAUGACUGUAAUCCCUGCUACUCGGGAGGCUGAGGCAGGAGAAUUGCUUGAACCCAGGAGGCGGAGGUUGUGGUGAGCCGAGAUCGUGCCAUUGCACUCCAGCCUGGGUAGCAAGAGCGAAACUCCGUCUCAAAAAAAACAAACAAAAAAAAGAAAACAACAGCAAAAAAAACAAAGAACAAAUUGCCACCCCCCAUUGAAGGAAGGAAAAUGUAAAUAUGGGAGCAGAAAAUAAUAAAGUAGAAAAUAAAUCCA
rnacentral:lncRNA from 13 species